UUUUGGCUUUUUAGGUCUUUAUUCUGAAAUGUUUCCUAACUCUGGUAGCAUGAGUUUCCAAUGCGACAAAAAUAGUUACUAUGGCGUUACUUUUGAGUACUUUUCUAAUGUUAAAUGGAAUAAUGUUAGUAUUGGGAUUAGGUAGACAACAAGAACUGUCUGAAAACUGAUGUAACAUGGAGACAAUUGUUAUCAGUAUUAAUCAUCUUUUUCUUGUCUUUUAUUUCUUUAUUUCAAAGUGUAUUUCUAUUCCAUUUUUGAAUGCCAUUCAUACUCCUGUGGUAUACGUGAUAAUUAGCGAAUCACAGAUUGGAAAGUUGGAUACGUGCUCAUAGAUGAUGAGGA
rnacentral:lncRNA from 1 species